rnacentral:rRNA from 1 species
GAUGAACGCUGGCGGCGUGCCUAAUACAUGCAAGUCGAGCGAACGGACGAGAAGCUUGCUUUUCUGAUGUUAGCGGCGGACGGGUGAGUAACACGUGGAUAACCUACCUAUAAGACUGGGAUAACUUCGGGAAACCGGAGCUAAUACCGGAUAAUAUUUUGAACCGCAUGGUUCAAAAGUGAAAGACGGUCUUGCUGUCACUUAUAGAUGGAUCCGCGCUGCAUUAGCUAGUUGGUAAGGUAACGGCUUACCAAGGCAACGAUGCAUAGCCGACCUGAGAGGAUGAUCGGCCACACUAGAACUGAGACACGGUCCAGACUCCUACGGGAGGCAGCAGUAGGGAAUCUUCCGCAAUGGGCGAAAGCCUGACGGAGCAACGCCGCGUGAGUGAUGAAGGUCUUCGGAUCGUAAAACUCUGUUAUUAGGGAAGAACAUAUGUGUAAGUAACUGUGCACAUCUUGACGGUACCUAAUCAGAAAGCCACGGCUAACUACGUG